rnacentral:lncRNA from 1 species
CCCAAAAAAUUGGACACAGCCUACUAGCCCAAAAAGAACAUGUUGCCAAUUAUCUCCAUGUUUAUUUAAAUAUUUUGCUCUAAAGGAAGCAAUCAUUCCUUUAUACUUCUUUAAAUUUAGUAUUAAACCUUUUCCUAUUUGCCAUGGCCACUGCUUGUGAAGCUAAAGGUGGUGAAGGCAGACACAGGCAAUGGGGCCAGGAGCAUAUGCCUUUCAAUUCCUUCCUGGCAACCUUCCUGUCUUCUCCUCCACUGACUCUUCCCUCUCAUCACCCUCUCUAUGGUGCCAAAAUAGGCUUAGUGGAAUGCUAAUUUGGCACCCUGACAUAUAAUGUUCUAAAAUGGAUGCAUUCUGAAUUUCUUCUUCCCAGAUUUGAAAUGUUUUGAACUGAAUUUGAACUGAAAUUCUAUUGACUUUCUCUUUGAUUUCUUCACCUAUAAACUGGACCAGUACCAGCCACUACAAAAACAUACCAAAUUGUAUAGGCCAUCGACACUAUGAAGAAACUGCAUCAACUAAUGGACUAAAUAACCAGCUAGCAUCAUAAUGACAGGAUCAAAUUCACACUCAAUAAAAUACUGGCAAACUGAAUCCAGCAGCACAUCAAAAAGUUUAUCCACCACGAUCAAGUCAGCUUCAUCCCUGGGAUGCAAGGCUGGUUCAACAUAUGCAAAUCAAUAAACAUAAUCUAUCAUAUAAACAGAACCAAUGACAAAAAUCACAUGAUUAUCUCAAUAGAUGCAGAAAAGACCUUCGAUAAAAUUCAACACCCCCUUCAUACUAAAAACUCUCAAUAGACUAGGUAUUGAUGGAACAUAUCUCAAAAUAAUUAGAGCCGUUUAUGACAAACCCACAGCCAAUAUCAUACUGAAUGGGCAAAAUCUGGAAGCAUUCCCUUUGACAACUGGCAUAAGACAUGGAUGCCCUAUCUCACCCCUCCAAUUCAACAUAGUAUUGGAAGUUCUGGCCAGGACAAUCAGGCAAGAGAAAAAAAUAAAGGGUAUUCAAAUAGGAAGAAAGGAAGUCAAAUUGUCUCUCUUUGCAGAUGACAUGAUUGUGUAUUUAGAAAACCCCAUCAUCUCAGCCCCAAAACUCCUUAAGCUGAUAAGCAACUUCAGCAAAGUCUCAGGAUACAAAAUCAAUGUGCAAAAAUUACAAGUACUCCUCUACACCAAUAAUAGACAAACAGAGAGCCAAAUCAUGAGUGAACUCCCAUUCACAAUUGCUACAAAGAGAAUAAAAUACCUAGGAAUACAACUUACAAGGGAUGUGAAGGACCUCUUCAAGGAGAACUACACACCACUUCUCAAGGAAAUAAGAAAAGACACAAACAAAUUGAAAAACAUUCCAUGCUCAUGUAUAGGAAGAAUCAAUAUUGUGAAAAUGGCCAUAUUGCCCAAGGUAAUUUAUAGAUUCAAUGCUAUCCCCAUCAAGCUACCAUUGACUUUCUUCACAGAAUUAGAAAAAUCUACUUUAAAUUUCAUGUGGAACCAAAAAAAGCCUGUAUAGCCAAGACAAUCCUAAGCAAAAGAACAAAGCUGGAGGCAUCAUGCUACUUUACUUCAAACUACACUACAAGGCUACAGUAAUCAAAACAGCAUGGUACUGGUACCAAAACAGAUAUAUAGACCAAUGGAACAGGGCAGAGGCCUCAAAAAUAAUGCCACACAUCUACAACCAUCUGACCUUUCACAAACCUGACAAAAACUAGCAACGAGGAAAGGAUUCCCUAUUUAAUAAAUGGCAUUGAGUAAUUGGCUAGCCUUAUGCAGAAAACUGAAACUGGACCCCUUCCUUACACCUUAUACAAAAAUUGACUCAAGAUGGAUUAAAGACUUAAACGUAAGACCUAAAACCAUAAAAUCCCUAGAAGAAAACCUAGGCAAUACCAUUCAGGACAUAGGCAUGGGCAAAGACUUCAUGACUAAAACACCAAAAAGCAGUGGCAACAAAAGCCACAAUUGACAAAUGGGAUCUAAUUAAACUAAAGAGCUUCUGCACAGCAAAAGAAACUAUCAUCUGAGUGAACAGGCAACCUACAGAAUGGGAGAAAGUUUUUGCAAUCUAUCCAUCUGACAAAGGGCUAAUAUCCAGAAUCUACAAGGAACUUAAACAAAUUUACAAGAAAAAAACACCAUCAAAAAGUGGGCAAAGGAUAUGAACAGACUCUUAUCAAAAGAAGACAUUUAUGUGGCCAACAAACAUAUGAAUAAAAGCUCAUCAUCACUGGUCAUUAGAGAAAUGCAAAUCAAACUCACAAUGAGAUAUCAAUUUACACCAGUUACUAGAGAGGAUGUGGGGACAUAGGAACGCUUUUACAUUGUUGGUAGGAGAGUCUAGCUAUGAAAGUCCUAGAUGACAUCUUCUAAUAGAAGACUAUUUAAUCUACAUUGGAAAUCUGUUGUUUAGGGUAACCACCUUCAUCAGUAAUCUUAGCUAGAUCUUCUGGAUAACUUCUCCAUCAGCUCUUGCUGCUUCACCUUGCACUUUUAUGUUAUAGAGACUGCUUCUUUCCUUCAACCUCAUGAACCAACCUCUGAUAGGUACUGACUUUUCUUCUGCUGUUUCUUUGAGAGCCUCAUAGAAUUGAAGAGUGUUAGGGGCUUGCUUUAGCUUAUGAGUAUGUUGUGGCUGGUUUAAUCUUCCCAGAUCACUAAAACUUUCACCAUGUCACCAAUAAGGCUGUUUUGCUUUUUUUGUAAUUCACCUGUUUAUUGGAAUAGCACUUUAGUUGCCUUUAAGAGCUUUACCUUUAAAUACAGAACUUGGCUGUUUGGUGCAAGAAGCCAGUUUAGCCUCUCUCAGCUUUCGACAUACCUUUCUCACUAAGCUUAAACAUUUGUAGCUUUUGAUUUAAAGUGAGAAAUAUGUGACUCUUCCUUUCACUUGAACACUUAGAGGCAAUUGUAGAAUUAUUAAUUGGCCUAAUUUUAAUAAUGUUGUGUCUCGGGGAAUAGGGAGGCCCAAGGAGAGGGAGAGAGGUGGGGGAAUGGCUGUUUAGUAGACCAGUCAGAACAUACACAAAAUUUGUGGAUUAAGUUUGCCGUCUUACAUUGGUGUGGUUCAUGGUCCCCACGACAAUUAAAAUAGUAACUUUAGAGAUCACUGAUACCAGAUCACCAUACCAGAUAUCAUAAUGAAAAAUUUGAAAUAUUGUGAGAACUGCCAAAAUAUGACACAGAGACAAGAGCUCAUGCUAUUGAAAAAAAUGGCUCUGAUAGACUUGGCUUGAUGCAGGGUUGCACAAAACCUUCAAUUUGUAAGAGACAUGGUUAUCUGUGAAGCUCAAUAAAGCACAAUACAAUAAAACAAGGUAUGCCUGUAUGAAUUCCUUUAAUAUAAUCCUCAUAAUAAUCUAACAAGGUAGACAUUAUGCCCAUUUGAUAGAACUAGGAAAUUGAGGCAUAACAAGGUUAAGCAAAUUGCACAAAAUCACUUGCUUUGUAAACGGCAUGAUCAGGAACCAAACUAGGCCAGCCUGAUGCCAAAACUUGUUCUUAAUGCACUAAAUUGAUUGGUUUCAAGACUUAACUCCUGCUGCAUUUAAAAGUCUUCCUAUCUCAUUGGUUCCCUUUAUUCUCACUUCUAAUGGGCAUUUUGGGCAAACUUUCACGAUUUAGCUUCCUUGAAAUAGCAGGUAGAUUUCUUACCUUUGAGCCUCGCUCUGACCCCUUCCCGGUAGAAGACUCAUGAACCAUAGGUUGAAGGUGCCUUCUACUUGCAGGGUAUUUUGGUUUAGCUGGAUGGGGGAGGGAUGUUGAUCCCUUUUUUGAUUGAUUUACAUUUGGUGGCUCAGCAUGAUAAAGUAGAAAGAGUAUUGAUGGAGUAAGAUUCAGUAGAUCCAAAUCCCAGAUCCAGUGCUUGCAGCAGCAUCACUUCAGGAAAACUUGAAGAGUUUUUCUGAGUCUUCCUAUCACAGAUUAUAGGAUUUCUAUAAAUAUUUAGUUGGAAUAUAUAACAAAAUAAUUAGGAAAGUUAGUUUUCUUUCUACUUAAUUGGCUUAAAGCAAUUCUGUAAUUUUAUUCUUAUCAGUUUAAAAAUAUCUCCUCCGCUAUUUAACAUUUGAUAUUAUAUUACUUCUAGCACUAAAUGCAUAAUCAAUGUUGUGGUGUGUUUGAACCAGGGAAUUUAUCAGUUUCUGAGGAUGUUAGAAAUUUAAGUGCCUAAUGUAAGAACCAUGCCCAGUUUGGCAGAGAAAUUUUCAGUUCAGAGACAAUUCAAGUACCCUCCCACAUUUCCCACUCCUCUAGAAGUUAGGCAAUCCCGUCUAACUACUUCUGGCCAGUGGGCUGAGAUGGGAAGUAAUGUGAGUCUCUUCCAGGCAAAAUGCAUUUAUGAGCUGGUGUGUGGUGCUUCAGCUCUCUUUUUCCCUAAUGCAGCAACCUUGAAGUUGAAUAUUCCUGUUGACAUAGUUAGAAGAUAUAAGUAGUCUGAAUCCCUGUGACAUCACUUGGAAGCCAGCAAACCCACAGAGGACUUUGCAUGAGCAAUCACUAAAUCUUUAUGAAUUAUACUGUGAUUUGGGGGAUUUGUUUGUUAUUGUAUUAUAGCCUAAUCUAACUUGACUAAUAUACAUAGCCUUUGGAGGUGUGUGGUUUUUGCUUGGUAAGGAUAUAGGUAACUAAAAAAUACUAAGAAGAGUUGCAGCAGACACCCAAAUCUAAGUAGACUCCUAAUCAAAAGGUCAUUGUUACCAAUAACUAGUUCUGUGGUUCUAUAGAUAGAGAAAAAUUUUUUUCGUAACAUUUUCAAAGCAAACAUUUUGU